rnacentral:ncRNA from 1 species
CAAAGGCUUGGUCCUGACUUUAUUAUCAGCUUUAGCUCGAUUUACACAUGCAAGUCUCCGCAGCCCCGUGAGAAUGCCCUUAAUCCCCCGCCCGGGGACGAGGAGCAGGCAUCAGGCACAAAAUUUAGCCCAAGACGCCUUGCCAGGCCACACCCCCAAGGGAAUUCAGCAGUGAUAAAUAUUAAGCCAUAAGUGAAAACUUGACUUAGUUAAGGCUAAGAGGGCCGGUAAAACUCGUGCCAGCCACCGCGGUUAUACGAGAGGCCCUAGUUGAUAAGCACGGCGUAAAGGGUGGUUAAGGGAGUACAUAAAUAAAGCCGAAGGGCCCUCUGGCCGUUAUACGCUUCUAGGCGCCCGAAGCCCAAACACGAAAGUAGCUUUAAUUUAGCCCACCUGACCCCACGAAAACUGAGAAACAAACUGGGAUUAGAUACCCCACUAUGCUCAGUCAUAAACCCAAAUGUCAAAUUACAAUAGACAUUCGCCCGGGUACUACGAGCGUCAGCUUGAAACCCAAAGGACUUGGCGGUGCCUUAGACCCCCCUAGAGGAGCCUGUUCUAGAACCGAUAAUCCCCGUUAGACCUCACCACUUCUAGUCAUUCCCGCCUAUAUACCGCCGUCGUCAGCUUACCCUGUGAGGGACUAACAGUAAGCGAAAUGGGCACAACCCAAAACGUCAGGUCGAGGUGUAGCGCACGAAGUGGAAAGAAAUGGGCUACAUUUUCUAUCACAGAAUAAUACGAACAGCACUAUGAAAAAAUGCUCGAAGGAGGAUUUAGUAGUAAAAAGGAAGCAGAGUGUCCUUUUGAACCCGGCUCUGAGGCGCGUACACACCGCCCGUCACUCUCCCCUGUUAAAUUGCGUCAACUGUAAUUAACCUGAAAGCACCAACGAGGGGAGGCAAGUCGUAACAUGGUAAGUGUACCGGAAGGUGCACUUGGAUUAAACCCAGGGUAUGGCUGAGACAGACAAGCAUCUCCCUUACACUGAGAAGACAUCCAUGCAAGUUGGAUUACCCUGAGCCAAACAGCUAGCUUAAGCACUUAAGUAAUUUGAUAAUAUAAAUAAUUGGAAAAAACCUAAAUGAAAAAACUAAACCAUUUUCACGCCUAAGUACGGGAGACGGAAAA